UCCGGAGGAGGAAGCUCUGAAAGACAGGGGGCCCAGUGCCAUUCCGCAGGGAAUUGUCGCUUGCGUUCAGCUGUUCUACACAAUGGACUCAGUACCUGCCACUGUACCUUCUAUCACCGCUACCCCGGGGGACCCGGAACUUCUGGGACCCCUGUCUGUGCUCUACGCAGCCUUCAUAGCCAAGCUGCUGGAGUUAGUUGCUACAUUGCCUGAUGAUGUUCAGCCUGGGCCUGAUUUUUAUGGACUGCCAUGGAAACCUGUACUUAUCACUGCCUUCUUGGGAAUUGCUUCGUUUGCCGUUUUCUUAUGGAGAACUGUCCUUGUUUCACGGAACAGCAAAUUUCUGAGAAGUUGAAGACUAUCAUGAAAGAAAAUACAGAACUUGUACAAAAAUUGUCAAAUUAUGAACAGAAGAUCAAGGAAUCAAAGAAACAUGUUCAGGAAACCAGGAAACAAAAUAUGAUUCUCUCUGAUGAAGCAAUUAAAUUUAAGGAUAAAAUCAAGACACUUGAAAAAAAUCAGGAAAUUCUGGAUGACACAGCUAAAAAUCUUCGUGUUAUGCUAGAAUCUGAGAGAGAACAGAAUGUCAAGAAUCAGGACUUGAUAUCAGAAAACAAGAAAUCUAUAGAGAAGUUACAGGAUGUUAUUUCAAUGAAUGCCUCAGAAUUUUCAGAGGUUCAGAUUGCACUUAAUGAAGCUAAGCUUAGUGAAGAGAAGGUGAAGUCUGAAUG
rnacentral:sRNA from 1 species